UACGAAGGGGGCUAGCGUUGCUCGGAAUCACUGGGCGUAAAGCGCACGUAGGCGGCUUCUUAAGUCAGGGGUGAAAUCCUGGAGCUCAACUCCAGAACUGCCUUUGAUACUGAGGAGCUUGAGUCCGGAAGAGGUGAGUGGAACUGCGAGUGUAGAGGUGAAAUUCGUAGAUAUUCGCAAGAACACCAGUGGCGAAGGCGGCUCACUGGUCCGGUACUGACGCUGAGGUGCGAAAGCGUGGGGAGCAAACAGG
rnacentral:rRNA from 1 species